CGAGAACGAGCAUUUAGCCACUCUUUGGAAGCGAAUUAAAAUAUAUUUCAAACGUUUGCUGUGUCCAACACUUCAUGUUGAGUGUCCCUCCAUACAAAGGAAGCCUACAGCAGCUUUCUAUAGCCUCAAAAUUUGGUGUCUCGACCCCUUUAAUGGUACAUUUGAUUGAUUCCUGCCGUGCUCCAACCCGGUUUCCAGCAAUGAGGAGCCCUCUCGAGAUUGGAGCCAGAGGUAGCCUGCCCCAGCCGAACAUGCUACUAGCUGCUCAGAGCUGCCACAUGAUCCAAGUUUCUGUCAGAUCUCGGCUGCGCUCCCAGGUUGAAGGUGGAAGUGCAGCAUCUGAACGAACCAGGUGAACCUAGCGCUUGAUAUCGACCAGCUGAAUGUAAACUGCACCGUGAGUGUGUUCUAGAGCACUCGAAAGUGACCAGUUGAAUGUACCAUAAAAUACACGUCAAGCAAGCUAAAGAGUUUGUAUAACAAUGAGACUCAACAGAGAUGCUAAAAAGUUGUCGCAUAUCACAGGCACAGCUUCUUUUUCUUCUUUCUGGGCCCAUUCAGUUGGGCAGCACGAUGAGACUGCCAUUUAGUUUACUAACAACAUUUAACCAUGGAUAAAUCACAUUUACUAUCAAGGUGACCAUUCUAGAUCACGCUACAGACUUUUUUUCUCGCGGCCAGAACAUAAUCUGAUAGCGUCAGUCACCUAAUAAAAGUCCAUUAUAAGUCAGCAUGGAGAACUUAUUGUUGUAUUCACUGCCUU
rnacentral:lncRNA from 1 species